rnacentral:lncRNA from 1 species
ACAUUUGUCUAAGACCUCGAACCAGGCUGAUGAAGCUAUUACAAUCAGAAUAUUCAUUACUGUUCAGCACUUUGCAAUCUGACCUUCGAUAGGAUCAUUCAGUUCAGUGCAGUUCAGUUCAGUCGCUCAGUCGUGUCCGACUCUUUGNNNNNNNNNNNNNNNNNNNNNNNNNNNNCUCCUCCUGCCCCCAAUCCCUCCCAGCCUCAGGGUCUUUUCCAGUGAGUCGGCUCUUUGCAUCAGGCAGCCAGAGUACUGGAGGGAAAUGUCUCACUAGACUCCUGACCUUAAGGAGGACAUGAAAACCUUCGUCUUCUGUUUCGGGAGAUAUCAGAGGACAGGUGGAAAAUGUGGCUCAAGUCUGACCAGUUCGCCUACUAUUCUCUGAAGAAAACGGGGUUUCAGGGCUCUGUGUGUUCAUGAUGCCUUCGAGAUCCUAGCGGGACGCUCUGUUAUCCCAUCAGUCUUGAGAUGCUUGUAGCGAGAGUCUUUGCAAAUACGUGCACCCAGCAUUUUUCAGGGUGUUUCAGCAGGAAUGUUGGGUCAAGAGAGUCAGCCUUCCAUGUUACCAGAAAUAGCAAGCGUAUUAAAUGAGUGCAGCAUGACAGGUUAAGAAGACAAGAAGAAAAUCGGAAUUAAGGAUUUAAGUUAUGUAACAGAAGGAAAAUUUCAUGGGUGUGUAACAAAGUCCAUACCCGUAAAACAGAAAUGACAUUUCAAACGAUCAGUUCCAUCUUGCU